UGGUAGAUAAUGUUUGUAAUAAAUAUUUUUUGGCAGAUGGAUCAAAACUAGAGUUGAAAAUAAAUAAAAAAUAAAUGCUGAAUGUACUAAUUUUUUUUACUACAGGGUUGAAAAGUAAUGGGGGUCAGUAUAGGAAUUCAGUGCGAAUCUACAUUGUUUGUAAACAAGGCCAUGUGAAUGCCCAAAAAUGCCGCAUGACCCUAUGUUUUUAUUAGUGCAAAAGAUAGGGCUACAUUUGUACUUUCAUGAAUGUUAUAUGAAAGUUUCCAAUUUCUAAAGGUAAAUCAGGUAUAAAUUUAAUUCCAUACAUAGAUUAGCAUUAAAGUCAAUGGGAGAUUUUUUACUGAAUUUACCCCUAUAGGAAAAUAUGCA
rnacentral:lncRNA from 1 species